GACGAACGCUGGCGGCGUGCCUAAUACAUGCAAGUCGAACGCAGUGGGGACGGGUGAGUAACACGUGGGUAACCUCCCAUCAGAGGGGAUGAAACUUGGAAACAGGUGCUAAACCGAUACUGAUGGAUGGACCCGCGGUGCAUUAGUUAGUUGGUGGGGAAACGGCUAACCAAGGCCACGAUGCAUAGCCGACCUGACAGUGGUGUCGGCCACCCUGGGACUGGGACACGGCCCAGACUCCUACUGUAGGCAGCAGUAUGUAAGCUCCGGCAAUGGACGAAAGUCUGACCGACCAACGCUGCUUGAGCUAAGAAGGUAUUCGGACCGUAAAACUCUGUUGUGAGAGAAGCUGUAUCUAACCAGAAAGCCACGGCUAACUACGUGCCAGCCGCCGCGGUAAUUC
rnacentral:rRNA from 1 species